rnacentral:rRNA from 1 species
UACGUAGGGUGCGAGCGUUGUCCGGAAUUAUUGGGCGUAAAGAGCUCGUAGGCGGUGUGUCACGUCGGCCGUGAAAACCUGGGGCUCAACUCUGGGCGUGCGGUCGAUACGGGCAUCACUUGAGUUCGGCAGGGGAGACUGGAAUUCCUGGUGUAGCGGUGAAAUGCGCAGAUAUCAGGAGGAACACCGGUGGCGAAGGCGGGUCUCUGGGCCGGUACUGACGCUGAGGAGCGAAAGCGUGGGGAGCGAACAGG